rnacentral:rRNA from 1 species
ACGGGAGGCAGCAGUGGGGGAUAUUGCACAAUGGGCGAAAGCCUGAUGCAGCGACGCCGCGUGAGGGAAGACGGUUUUCGGAUUGUAAACCUCUGUCUUCGGGGACGAAAAUGACGGUACCCGAGGAGGAAGCCACGGCUAACUACGUGCCAGCAGCCGCGGUAAUACGUAGGUGGCAAGCGUUGUCCGGAAUUACUGGGUGUAACGGGAGAGUAGGCGGGAUUGCAAGUCCGUUGUUAAAUCUAUCGGCUCAACCGAUAGCUGCGGCGGAAACUGUAGUUCUUGAGUGAAGUAGAGGCAGGCGGAAUUCCUAGUGUAGCGGUGAAAUGCGUAGAUAUUAGGAGGAACACCAGUGGCGAAGGCGGCCUGCUGGGCUUUAACUGACGCUGAGGCUCGAAAGUGUGGGGAGCAAACAGGAUUAGAUACCCUGGUA